rnacentral:rRNA from 1 species
CGGGUGAGUAACACGUGAGUGACCUGCCUUUUAGACUGGAACAACUUACCGAAAGGUGAGCUAAUGCCGGAUGAGUUAUAUAAGUGCAUGUUUAUAUAGGAAAAGUUGGGGAGACCUGACGCUGAAAGAUGGACUCGCGUCCCAUUAGCCAGUUGGUAGGGUAAUGGCCUACCAAGGCGACGAUGGGUAGCCGGCCUGAGAGGGUGGCCGGCCACACUGGGACUGAGACACGGCCCAGACUCCUACGGGAGGCAGCAG